ensembl:lncRNA
AUUUUGCUUUCUCUUUACUAUCACACUUUCCUGUUCUACUAGUUUCUGAGUUUCAUUUUGAUUCUUCCUUAAAAUUUCAUUUUCACGAAAGAGAUUUUCAAUCCUGUCCAAUAAGGAUUUCUGUAGUUCAAGGAUUUGCUUUUGAAAACUUCUAAAUGUUCUUAUCAUAAAUUUUUUGAAAUCUGCUUCUUGCAUUUCUUCUAUCUCUUCAUCUUCAUAAUCUUGGCUUGGAGUGUUUUGUUUAUUUGGAAGUGUCAUAGUGUCAUCGUUGAUCUUGAUCUUGUUCCCUCAGUUUCUGUGUUUAUUGCAUGGUUAAUUCUGUUUCUCUCACUGUGAGUUUUUUUUUUUUACUAUGUCCGUGUUAAGUGGACUGCCUGCUGUUGGAGGAGCCUUGGAGGCUUGAGAUGGGUGUGGCCUGAGAGCUCUGCUUGGUUCUUCAGGGUUACAGGUGUGCAAAGGUGACACCCUCAGGUUAUGCGUGGUAAAUCUCUAUUUAUUUAUUCAUUCAUUUAUUUUAUUUUAUUUUAUUUUAUUUUAUUUUAUUUUAUUUUUUAUUCAGGAUGUAAGUAAUACUGCAAGGCUGAGCAGAAUGGAUGGUAUUUAGCUUCCGAUCUCUGGUAUCUCAGAAGCCUGGAUAUCAAGUCUUGGGCUCCCAAAGACAUUGUUACAGGAAACUUCACAUCCAGCUUAAGGAUGCGUCUGUAUGUCUCAGUGUGAGAGACGCUCUCGAAGGGUGGAUUUCCCACCAGCAGCUCAUAGCAGAGCACCCCAAAGUGUUUUACUGCCAUUUUCUGCACAGAUUUUUUUUAAAGAUUUAUUUAUUUAUGUGAAAGGCAGAGUUAUAGAGGGGCAGAAACAGCGAGAGGUCUUCCAUCUGCUGGUUCACGCACCAGAUGGCUACAAUGGCCAAAGCUGAGCUGAUUCAAAGCCAAGAGCUUUUGGAGCUUCUUCCAGGUCUCCCAUACAGGUGCAGAGGCCCAUGUAUGUGGGCCAUCUUCCUCUACUCUCCCAGGCCAUAGCAGAGAGCUGGAUAGGAAGUGGAGCACCUGGGACUCAAACCAGUGCCCAUAUGGGAUGCUGGCACUGCAGGUGGCAGCUUUACCCACUAUGCCACAGUGCCAGCCUCUCUGCACAGCUUUAUUCUGCAGAUGCAUCACCAUUCUAUAUCAAUGAAACCAAGAACACACUACUAUUUCUAUACCUAUAAUGAAAGCCAGAGACAUUAAUAAUCUUUCUGCCAGAAAACUUCCAGUCCAAACCAGGAGUAGAGUUAUGAAUUCAGGCUUAGUGUGGAUGGGGCUGGCACUAUCGUGUGGAGGGUAAAGCCACCACCUGCUUCACCAGCCUGUGUCCUAGAUGGGCACAGGUUCAAGUUUCAGCUGCUCCACAUCGAUCCAUCUCCAUGCUGAGAUACCUAGGAAAACAGCAGAGGUUGGCCUAAGUGCUUGGGCCCCUGCACCCACUUGGGAGACUUGGAAGAAACUCCAGGCUCCUGACUUCAGGUCAGCCCAGCUCUGGCUGUUGCAGUCAUUUGGGGAAUAAACCAGCAGGUGGAAGAUAUUUUUGCCUCUCU